GAAGUGCGAUAAGCAAUGCGAAUUGCAGAAUUCCGCGAAUCAUCAGAUCUUUGAACGCAAAUGGCGCCAGAGGGAUAUCCUUUUGGCAUGUCUGUUUCAGUGUCUGAGAGGUUUCACCAUUAUCUUAAUGUGAUUGAUGAAUGAGCUGCUCCUAGAGUAGCUUAACCUCAUCUCUCAUGAAAGAUGCUCGAGUGGAUCUUUCGGUCCAAUGAAGUGGUCACAUCACUCGCAUGUGAUUUCAUUGGGAUCACCGAAUUAUCCGCAUGCUCGAGGUACACUCUCAUUCACUGCUCACGCAGUGAAUCACUCCACACCCUGCAUCUGAGACAGGCAAGAUCACCCGCUGAACUUAA
rnacentral:misc_RNA from 1 species